AUAUUACUAAGCGGAGGAAAAGAAAUCAACGAAGAUUGCCUCAGUAGCGGCGGGUGAAGCGGCAAUAGCUCAAGUUUAGAAUCUGCAGUCGUCUCGGCUGCCGAAUUGUAAUCUAAAGGGGCUAACAACAGGGGAAGUAGAGGCAUAAGUUCCUUGGAACAGGACGUCAAAGAGGGUGAAAACCCCGUAUGCAGCCUCCACCGAACCGAAUGUUGACCUUCUAAGAGUCGGGUUGUUUGGGAUUGCAGCCCUAAAUGGGAGAUAAACUUCUUCUAAGGCUAAAUAUCUAUGGGAGACCGAUAGCGCACAAGUA
rnacentral:rRNA from 1 species